UGUGCAGGCGGUUCGGUAAGUUGGGCGUGAAAUCUCCCGGCUCAACUGGGAGAGGUCGUCCAAUACUACCGGGCUAGAGAACAGUAGAGGAAGAUGGAAUUCCCGGUGUAGUGGUGAAAUGCGUAGAUAUCGGGAGGAACACCAGUGGCGAAGGCGGUCUUCUGGACUGUUUCUGACGCUCAGACACGAAAGCUAGGGUAGUAAACGGGAUUAGAGACCCCGGUAAUCCUAGCUGUAAACGAUGUGAACUUGGCGUUGGUGGAUUAAACCCCAUCAGUGCCGAAGCAAACGCGAUAAGUUCACCGCCUGGGGACUACGAUCGCAAGAUUAAA
rnacentral:rRNA from 1 species